ACGCUCGACACCUACGGGGGCAGCAGUAGGGAAUCUUCCACAAUGGACGCAAGUCUGAUGGAGCAACGCCGCGUGAGUGAAGAAGGUCUUCGGAUCGUAAAACUCUGUUGUUAGAGAAGAACACGAGUGAGAGUAACUGUUCAUUCGAUGACGGUAUCUAACCAGCAAGUCACGGCUAACUACGUGCCUGCAGCCGCGGUAAUCUGAGCGGGCUGGCAAGGC
rnacentral:rRNA from 1 species